rnacentral:rRNA from 1 species
GGCGGACGGGUGAGUAACGCGUAAGGAACUUGCCUCUUGGACUGGGACAACUGUUGGAAACGACAGCUAAUACCGGAUAUUAUGAGAUUCUCGCAUGAGAAAUUUAUGAAAGCUAUAUGCGCCAAGAGAGAGCCUUGCGUUCCAUUAGCUAGUUGGUGGGGUAACGGCCCACCAAGGCGACGAUGGAUAGCCGGCCUGAGAGGGUGAACGGCCACAAGGGGACUGAGACACGGCCCUUACUCCUACGGGAGGCAGCAGUGGGGAAUAUUGGACAAUGGGCCACAAGCCUGAUCCAGCAAUUCUGUGUGCACGAUGAAGGUCUUCGGAUUGUAAAGUGCUUUCAGUUGGGAAGAAGAAAGUGACGGUACCAACAGAAGAAGCGACGGCUAAAUACGUGCCAGCAGCCGCGGUAAUACGUAUGUCGCAAGCGUUAUCCGGAUUUAUUGGGCGUAAAGCGCGUCUAGGCGGAAAAAUAAGUCUGAUGUUAAAAUGCGGGGCUCAACUCCGUAUUGCGUUGGAAACUGUUUUUCUAGAGUACUGGAGAGGUGGGCGGAACUACAAGUGUAGAGGUGAA